rnacentral:rRNA from 1 species
ACUCAAAUGAAUAGACGGGGACCCGCACAAGCGGUGGAGCAUGUGGAUUAAUUCGAUACUAACCGAAGAACCUUACCCAGGUUUGACAUCGAUCGCAAGGUCCAGAGAUGGGCCCCUCUCCCCAAAAGGGAGACGUGAAGACACUUGUUGCAUGGCUGUCGUCAGCUCGUGCCGUGAGGUGUACGGUUAAGUCCGCCAACGAGCGCAACCCUCGUCCUGUGUUACCAGCACGAAAGGUGGGAACUCACAGGAUACCGCCGGUGUAAGCCGGAGGAAGGUGGGGAUGAUGUCAAGUCAGCAUGGCAGUUACGCCUGGGGCUUCACACAUGCUACAAUGGGCGAAACAAAGGGCAGCAAAACCGUGAGGUGGAGCCAAUCCCAAAAAUACGCCCCCAGUUCAGAUUGCAGUCUGCAACUCGACUGCAUGAAGCAGGAAUCGCUAGUAAACGCAGGUCAGCUAUACUGCGUUGAAUACGUUCCCGGGUCUUGUACACACCGCCCGU